GACGAACGCUGGCGGCGUGCUUAACACAUGCAAGUCGAACGGAAAGGCCCUGCUUUUGUGGGGUGCUCGAGUGGCGAACGGGGGAGUAACACGUGAGUAACCUGCCCUUGACUUUGGGAUAACUUCAGGAAACUGGGGCUAAUACAGGAUAGGAGCUCCUGCUGCAGGGAGGGGGUGGGAAAGUUUCGGCGGUUGGGGAUGGACUCGCGGCUUAUCAGCUUGUUGGUGGGGGAGUGGCUUACCAAGGCUUUGACGGGUAGCCGGCCUGAGAGGGUGACCGGCCACAUUGCGCCUGCGGUACGGCCCAGUCUCCUACGGGGGGCAGCAGUCGGGAGUCUUGUCCAACGGGCGGACGUCUGAUGCAGCAACGUCGCGUGCGGGAUGCCGGCCUUCGGGUUGUAAACCGCUUUCGCCUGUGACGAAGCGUGAGUGACGGUAAUGGGUAAAGAAGCACCGGCUAACUACGUG
rnacentral:rRNA from 1 species